rnacentral:lncRNA from 1 species
GAAUCUGAACAUAACUGCAGUGAGCAUCUUGGAUCUCCAUGUGUUUUGUGCAACUCAAUGCCAGUGUUGACACAGACUUAAUGCUGCCACCGAGGGAUUUGUGCUGCUGCUUUAAUGUAACUUUUCUGCAGUGGCUUUAUGGCCCUGCUGUCCAACUUAAUAACCACAGCUUGUUGUUUGGCGCAGGGGUCUCUCUUUGCCCUAAAUG